UGACAAGGUGGCUGAAUUUAGGCAUUGAAUUGUAAAUUCUAUUAUAAAUGAUAAUAUUUUCUUGU
rnacentral:tRNA from 1 species